GCCCCUUUAACAGGCCCGUCACUUUUAUAUAACCGAACCUGGUUUUUUAAGGAGGUUUUUAAGUGUUUUAAUCACACCAGUGGUCCCCUUGUGCCCGUGCCCCUCGCAGCGGCCAUCCUGGGCGUUGCGUUUUAACCCAAACCUAACCAUAACCAUUGCCUAAUCGACUUCAAGGCAGCGCUGCGACCGUUGACUUCAUGGCACCUAACC